GCCAGGUGUGGUGGCGCAUGCUUGUGGUCCCAGCUACUUGGGAGGCAGAGGUGGGAGGAUUGCUUGAGCCCAGGAGGUCAAGGCUGCAGUGGGCCGAGAUUGCACCACCACUGCACUCCAGCCUGGGUGACAGAGCGAGACCCUGUCUCAA
rnacentral:sRNA from 1 species